CUACGGGAUGCUCCAGUGAGGAAUAUUGGUCAAUGGGGGCAACCCUGAACCAGCAACGCCGCGUGUACGAUGAAUCAGAAUACUGUGUAAAGUACUGUUAACCGGGACGAAAAGACGUAUAGGCUACGUUGAUGACGGUACCGGUUGAGGAAGCUCCGGCUAACUCCGUGCCAGCAGCCGCGGUAAUACGGGGGGAGCUAGCGUUGUCCGGAAUCAUUGGGCGUAAAGGGCAUGUAGGUUGGACUUUAAGUCAGAUGUUAAAGUGUACGGCUUAACCGUAUUAUGCAUUUGAUACUGGAGUUCUUGAGUAUGAGAGGGGACAGAGGAAUACCUGGUGUAGCGGUGGAAUGCGUAGAUAUUAGGUAGAACACCUGAGGCGAAGGCGUCUGUCUGGCUCAUUACUGACACUGAAAUGCGAAAGCAUGGGUAGCGAACAGGAUUAGAUACCCGAGUAGUC
rnacentral:rRNA from 1 species